AUUAGUACAGCGCUUUCAUUUAUAUUUGAGGAACGUAGAUGAAACACGUACAAUUGAUAUUUUAUAUUCAUGUGGAAUAUUAACAUUUCAUCAGUGGCAUCUACGAAAUGAAUGGUUAAAAGAAAAGAAAACAUAUAAAAGGCCAGAGAAUGUAAAGUUUGCUGUUGGAAUGAUAGUUAAACAUGGUAAAGAGGUGUGUGUGAUCGUCGGAUGGGACAGAUAUGAUAUUGAUCGAAGUGAUACAAUCUCUUUAGACGUUACACAGAACUUAAA